AUGCCUUGGCACUAGAAGCCGAUGAAGGACGUUACUAACGACGAUAUGCUUUGGGGAGCUGUAAGUAAGCUUUGAUCCAGAGAUUUCCGAAUGGGGAAACCCAGCAUGAGUUAUGUCAUGUUAUCGAUAUGUGAAUACAUAGCAUAUCAGAAGGCACACCCGGAGAACUGAAACAUCUUAGUACCCGGAGGAAGAGAAAGAAAAUUCGAUUCCCUUAGUAGCGGCGAGCGAAACGGGAAGAGCCCAAACCAACAAGCUUGCUUGUUGGGGUUGUAGGACACUCUAUACGGAGUUACAAAGGACGACAUUAGACGAAUCAUCUGGAAAGAUGAAUCAAAGAAGGUAAUAAUCCUGUAGUCGAAAAUGUUGUCUCUCUUGAGUGGAUCCUGAGUACGACGGAGCACGUGAAAUUCCGUCGGAAUCUGGGAGGACCAUCUCCUAAGGCUAAAUACUCUCUAGUGACCGAUAGUGAACCAGUACCGUGAGGGAAAGGUGAAAAGCACCCCGGAAGGGGAGUGAAAUAGAACCUGAAACCGUGUGCUUACAAGUAGUCAGAGCCCGUUAAUGGGUGAUGGCGUGCCUUUUGUAGAAUGAACCGGCGAGUUACGAUUUGAUGCAAGGUUAAGCAGUAAAUGUGGAGCCGUAGCGAAAGCGAGUCUGAAUAGGGCGUUUAGUAUUUGGUCGUAGACCCGAAACCAGGUGAUCUACCCUUGGUCAGGUUGAAGUUCAGGUAACACUGAAUGGAGGACCGAACCGACUUACGUUGAAAAGUGAGCGGAUGAACUGAGGGUAGCGGAGAAAUUCCAAUCGAACCUGGAGAUAGCUGGUUCUCUCCGAAAUAGCUUUAGGGCUAGCCUCAAGUGAUGAUUAUUGGAGGUAGAGCACUGUUUGGACGAGGGGCCCCUCUCGGGUUACCGAAUUCAGACAAACUCCGAAUGCCAAUUAAUUUAACUUGGGAGUCAGAACAUGGGUGAUAAGGUCCGUGUUCGAAAGGGAAACAGCCCAGACCACCAGCUAAGGUCCCAAAAUAUAUGUUAAGUGGAAAAGGAUGUGGCGUUGCCCAGACAACUAGGAUGUUGGCUUAGAAGCAGCCAUCAUUUAAAGAGUGCGUAAUAGCUCACUAGUCGAGUGACACUGCGCCGAAAAUGUACCGGGGCUAAACAUAUUACCGAAGCUGUGGAUUGUCCUUUGGACAAUGGUAGGAGAGCGUUCUAAGGGCGUUGAAGCAUGAUCGUAAGGACAUGUGGAGCGCUUAGAAGUGAGAAUGCCGGUGUGAGUAGCGAAAGACGGGUGAGAAUCCCGUCCACCGAUUGACUAAGGUUUCCAGAGGAAGGCUCGUCCGCUCUGGGUUAGUCGGGUCCUAAGCUGAGGCCGACAGGCGUAGGCGAUGGAUAACAGGUUGAUAUUCCUGUACCACCUAUAAUCGUUUUAAUCGAUGGGGGGACGCAGUAGGAUAGGCGAAGCGUGCGAUUGGAUUGCACGUCUAAGCAGUAAGGCUGAGUAUUAGGCAAAUCCGGUACUCGUUAAGGCUGAGCUGUGAUGGGGAGAAGACAUUG
rnacentral:rRNA from 1 species